rnacentral:snoRNA from 1 species
AAGCAGAUGAUGAAUUACUUGGAUUCCCCUUCAAGACAUCAUGAGUGGUGCAAAAAUCGAGUUUCUGAUGCA